GACAGAGGGGGCAAGCGUUGCUCGGAAUUACUGGGCGUACAGGGAGCGUAGGCGGUUGGAUAAGCCCUCCGUGAAAUCUCCAGGCUUAACCUGGAAAGUGCAGAGGGGACUGUUCAGCUAGAGGAUGGGAGAGGAGCGCGGAAUUCCCGGUGUAGCGGUGAAAUGCGUAGAGAUCGGGAGGAAGGCCGGUGGCGAAGGCGGCGCUCUGGAACAUUUCUGACGCUGAGGCUCGAAAGCGUGGGGAGCAAACAGG
rnacentral:rRNA from 1 species